GCCUACCCGUGGUCUAGUGGUUUGAGUGUUGGACUAGAAUUCCAGAAGACCAGGGCUGAAAUCCCUGCUGAGCCA